UCAAUGGUGGUUCAGUGGCAGAAAUCUCACUUUCCAGGUGGCAGGCCUGGGUUUGAUUCCCGGCCAAUGCA
rnacentral:tRNA from 1 species